UGGGAGGUCCAGGCGCUCGGAUCACAGGGUCAUCGUCGUCGAAUAUAUGUGGCUCCAUAGGCCGGAAGAAGGGUUGUGCGGGCACGAGAGAUGAAGUGGGUGGCUUUGAUGGCAUGGAGCUCUCGGAGAAGCAGAAAGAAGGCAGGUCAUGGCAUCUCACGCUGUGGAGCGGGCAGACUUGGCGGCUGCUGGCGAUUCUCCCGGUUGUGUCUGGGCGCCAGGCGCGUGCUCGUCCUCAGUACAAGCGGCUAUCUGCUCUUCAUCCUCACCAACCUGGUCCCGGCAUGGUGCGGAUGGUCACGACACAAGUCGUACAAUCUCACACUGACAUGAUAAUACCGUGCAGUUCUGUAUCGUAGUGUUUGGUUUGGAUGCUUUGUUCCUACUUGAUAGAACGCCUGCUUAGAUAAUGUUCAUUCCCCUGAAAGAAGUCCAUUUAAGUUCGGCAGAAGUGUCAAUUUUAUACAGUAAUGUUUCGUCUGUCAUGUAUUUUUUGUUCGUAGUUGAGACGUUG
rnacentral:lncRNA from 1 species